rnacentral:rRNA from 1 species
CGAGCGAAGCGGGAAGAGCUCAAAUUUGUAAUCUGGCAGCAAUGCCCGAGUUGUAAUCUAUAGAGUCGUUUUCGGUGCCGGACCGCGUCCAAGUCCCUUGGAACAGGGUAUCAAAGAGGGUGAGAAUCCCGUGCUUGACGCGACGACCGGGGCUGUGUGAUACGUCUUCUACGAGUCGAGUUGUUUGGGAAUGCAGCUCUAAACGGGUGGUAAAUUCCAUCUAAAGCUAAAUAUUGGCGAGAGACCGAUAGCGAACAAGUACCGUGAGGGAAAGAUGAAAAGCACUUUGGAAAGAGAGUUAAACAGUACGUGAAAUUGUUGAAAGGGAAACGAUUGAAGUCAGUCGUGUUCAUUGGUUUCAGCGGGUUCUGCCCGUGUAUUACCUUUGAACGGGUCAACAUCGGUUAGAUUGGGUGCAGAAAGGCGUUGGGAAGGUAGCACCCUCGGGUGUGUUAUAGCCCGGCGUCAUAUACACUCGACCUGACCGAGGCUUGCGGUGUGCCUCUUUGAGGCGGUCUCUUUGGACCCCCACACCUGG